CUGCAGGUGUCUUUGGGACCUGUCAUCUGUGGCAGCCCCCCUUCCUGGUCAUGGAAAAACAUGUUCCUGUUCGUGGGAAAGCUGUCACCAUUUCAUUGGUAUCCUAUUCUGAUUCACGUUGAUAACAUUC
ensembl:snoRNA Gm24172 small nucleolar RNA SNORA24